CUUGCUUUGGCAGCAUAUACUAAAAUCAGAAAAGCACAGAGAUUAGCAUGGGCCCUGUGCAAGAAUGACAGGCAAAUUCAUGAAGCAUUCCAUAUUUUU
rnacentral:snRNA from 1 species